CCUACGGGGGACAGCAGUGGGGAAUAUUGCACAAUGGGGGAAACCCUGAUGCAGCGACGCCGCGUGAGUGAAGACGUAUUUCGGUAUGUAAAACUCUAUCAGUAGGGAAGAAAUAAAGUCCUUCGGACUUUGGACGGUACCUGACUAAGAAGCACCGGCUAACUACGUGCCAGCAGCCGCGGUAAUACGUAGGGGGCAAGCGUUAUCCGGAUUUACUGGGUGUAAAGGGAGCGUAGACGGCAGCGCAAGUCUGGAGUGAAAUCCCAUGGCUUAACCAUGGAACUGCUUUGGAAACUGUGCAGCUGGAGUGCAGGAGAGGUAAGCGGAAGUCCGAGGGUAGCGGUGAAAUGCGUAGAUAUUAGGAGGAACACCAGUGGCGAAGGCGGCUUACUGGACUGUAACUGACGUUGAGGCUCGAAAGCGUGGGGAGCAAACAGGAUUAGAUACCCCAGUAGUC
rnacentral:rRNA from 1 species